CACAAUUUAGAGAGGGACACAAUGAUUGAAAUAUCUAGGAUCCCUUCCAUAAAGCAAUCUUUCCAUUCAGCAUUAAUGAAUCUGCUGCUGUAGACCUUUAUCUUCUUUCAGAUGCCACAUGAUGGAGGGACUGUGGAGCAAGUCCAGAGGAGAGGAUCAAAAAGAAGCAGAGGUCAAAGAAAUAUGAUCUAGGAAGAAGCCCUUAACAGGGGGUGUUCAGCCCUCAGAAAUGAAGACUGCCAGGGAUGUGGUCACAGUCCUUCCAUUCUGAAAAACCUAGUGCAAAAAAACAAACAAAAAAACCACCCCGAAACCAAAGAGAUUUGUCUUUCCUGAAUAUAGGGUGUAUGCUGGGAAAAGCUUUGUGGUGGAAAGCUUAGUCCCACUUCCCAGGGCCUGUGCUUUGAGCUCCCACUGCAUCCCAUUUCCACUGCCAGUGCCACUACACAAGGAUUCUGCCAUUGGCCACACAUUUACCAGGUGUUGUUUGCCAAGUUAACGGCAAAACUCUCACUGACUUUAUGGAGCAUAAAGAUCCAGAUGUGGAGGCUGACUGGAAAGAACAAAUCUGCUGAUUCAUGUUUGUAUCAACUGAACUUACAUCUUACAAGAGGAGCUUCUUGAAGUUUGUGGGACUUCCACAGAACCAGGUAUUUCCAUAUAACAACUGCUACAAGUUCUUUCUGUAUGGGGAUAAUAGCAUCUGAAUCAGACACUUGAAAUAAAGAACAGGAAAACUGAU
rnacentral:lncRNA from 1 species